rnacentral:rRNA from 1 species
UACGGAGGGUGCAAGCGUUAUCCGGAUUUACUGGGUUUAAAGGGUGCGUAGGCGGGCAGGUAAGUCAGGGGGUGAAAUCUUCGAGCUUAACUCGGAAACUGCCUUUGAUACUAUCUGUCUUGAAUAUGGUGGAGGUAAGCGGAAUAUGUCAUGUAGCGGUGAAAUGCUUAGAUAUGACAUAGAACACCUAUUGCGAAGGCAGCUUACUACGCCUAUAUUGACGCUGAGGCACGAAAGCGUGGGGAUCAAACAGG